rnacentral:rRNA from 1 species
AGAAAAUUUUCAACGAUGGAUAUCUGGGUUCCCAUAACGAUGAAGAACGCAGCGAAAUGCGAUACGCAAUGCGAAUAGCAGAUCCGCGAGACAUUAGAUUUUCGAACGCACCUGGCGC